rnacentral:rRNA from 1 species
UACGGAGGGCGCAAGCGUUAAUCGGAAUUACUGGGCGUAAAGCGCACGCAGGCGGUUUGUUAAGUCAGAUGUGAAAUCCCCGGGCUCAACCUGGGAACUGCAUCUGAUACUGGCAAGCUUGAGUCUCGUAGAGGGGGGUAGAAUUCCAGGUGUAGCGGUGAAAUGCGUAGAGAUCUGGAGGAAUACCGGUGGCGAAGGCGGCCCCCUGGACGAAGACUGACGCUCAGGUGCGAAAGCUAGGGGAGCAAACCGG